rnacentral:hammerhead_ribozyme from 1 species
GCACUGCUGUGGAGUCCCAAGAUAGGACGAAACGGCCGUCCAGUGC